AACCACUCACGCCUGGCGUGGUAUUGGGGCACGCGGUCUCCGCGGCCCUCAAAAUUAGUGGCGGUGCCGGUGGGCUCUAAGCGUAGUACAUACUCCCGCUAUAGAGUUCCCCCGGUGGCUCGCCAGAACCCCCAAUUUUUUACAGG
rnacentral:misc_RNA from 1 species